UUGGACGCUGGCGGCAUGCUUUACACAUGCAAGUCGAACGGCAGCGCGGGGCAACCUGGCGGCGAGUGGCGAACGGGUGAGUAAUAUAUCGGAACGUACCCAGGAGUGGGGGAUAACGUAGCGAAAGUUACGCUAAUACCGCAUACGAUCUAAGGAUGAAAGCAGGGGACCGCAAGGCCUUGUGCUCCUGGAGCGGCCGAUAUCUGAUUAGCUAGUUGGUGAGGUAAAGGCUCACCAAGGCGACGAUCAGUAGCUGGUCUGAGAGGACGACCAGCCACACUGGAACUGAGACACGGUCCAGACUCCUACGGGAGGCAGCAGGGGGGAAUUUUGGACAAUGGGCGCAAGCCUGAUCCAGCAAUGCCGCGUGAGUGAAGAAGGCCUUCGGGUUGUAAAGCUCUUUUGUCAGGGAAGAAACGGUGCGGGCUAAUAUCCCGUGCUAAUGACGGUACCUGAAGAAUAAGCACCGGCUAACUACGU
rnacentral:rRNA from 1 species